ACGGAGGCCUCGAGCGUUGUUCGGAAUCACUGGGCUUAAAGCGCGUGUAGGCGGAACGGUAAGUACCUUGUGAAAUCCCCGGCUUCAAUCCGGGAACUGCUCGGUAUACUGCCGUUCUUGAGGCAGGUAGGGGUCACUGGAACCUUAGGUGGAGCGGUGAAAUGCGUAGAUAUCUAAGGGAACGCCUGUGGCGAAAGCGGGUGACUGGGCCUGUCCUGACGCUGAGACGCGAAAGCGUAGGGAGCGAACGG
rnacentral:rRNA from 1 species